UAGCUGUUUCCAGAAGUGUAUAUAUAAAAAAAUCCCUACAACUACAGAUGCAAUAAUCAAUCUGUCAGAGAUCGGAAUUGGCCAAUUAGCCCUUACUUGGCUCUAAACUGUGAUCAGGUCAAAUGCUAAAAAUCUUAUUUAUCCCCUACUCCUUAAAUAAAUUAAAACGUUGAGCAUUUUCCAUGUAUAAACUAAAACAUCAAGCAACAGAUUGUACUUUGAUAAACUUUGUUUUGAGUUUAUUAAAACUAGAAGAUUAGAGACACAUGCUUAGAUGUGUAAAUAAGGAUAAUCUUGCACUUCUUUCAUUUUCUGUGGGGUUCUAAACUAUCCAUCACAGUCCCUGCAGAAUAUUUCGUUACUUCCUGUUCCUCAGUGCUGAAUGGGCAGGUCACAGCUCAAAGAAAAUCUUAAAUUUGGACCUCUGGACACAUGAAGAAGAAAACACCAAGAUGCACCUACAAUACUGAAAAAUGCAAAGUAACAGAUAUCAGCAGCUACAGGCAGUUUGUAAGAAAUGCACAACACAGAGUUUGAUGAGUUUAAACAUUAAUGUGUGAAUGAUUAGAAAAGCCAGCAGGAAAAACACUCAGUUAUAAACCUACUGCUUGCUUUGGGGUUUUCCUCUGGUGUUAUUAGUCUUAUUUUGACUAAAUUCAAGGUACUACCUGCAUGUACUUGGCAUAAUAUGUACACCUUUAUAUGAGGACAGCAGGUUUGUUAAAAAAGAUGUGCCAAAUGAAACAGCCAUUGUUUAAUACUGGUCAGUACUUCCUGGAGCUAUUUAAAUCAAUAAAGGUUCCUCGUAGCAGAGAUGUUUCACAACCUAGCACCACAGACGAUCUCAUAUAAAUAGCAAAUGUUCGCUUAUCUGGAGAAGACAAACAGCAGCGAGUAUUUGGCUCUGUUUGUUUUUAUUUCCUUUAUUUGUUAAACUUUUUGUUCUGACUGUUUGCUUUCCACCUCCAGCCUAGUAUUCCUAAAACUUGUUAGCUGUCGUGUCGCUAGCAGAACCGAGCUAACUGUCGCCCAGUUACCCCGGGUCCAACAGAAAACUGUCCCACCAGUGUCCCAGCUUCCCGCACCGCCGUGGGACGAGGGAACAGCUGGACCCCUGCGUAUCUGGAAUCUUUGUUAGAUGUUUCACCUGUUUCACUGUGAUGCUUGGAGACAGCUCCUCACGCGGUACAUUCAGCCAUGUGCAACAGCCAAAUAACGCCGCAUGGCUUCAAGAUGUCUCGUGUUGGAUGACCCGGGUUAUUGCCUUUUUACAACAAAGAAGCUUUCACCCACCUGUGAGCCAAUCAGGUCAGCAGUUCCAUUGAAAAGCAUUGCAAAGCUGAAGAAGUAUACACAACGAGGCCGAACCCAUUUCAGUCCAGCAAUCACACCACAGGAGCAACAAGAGGCUUCAUGAGGGCCCCGCACACACAGCAGUUCAAUAGAAGCCCACCAAGAAUGAGGAAACCUCCCCUCCAUCCAUACUGGUACUGAAGAACCUGACCCAGAGGCGAGAGGCAGCACAGGAC